rnacentral:lncRNA from 1 species
GACUCUAGUAGGUCACAAACGGCUUUACUUAUUUACACCUCUAGAUAUAUUUAAAAGAAAGAUUAAUGGUUUUGGAGUGCAACUUUAAACACCACCGUCUUAUAAAGGUUUUUAAAACCGGACCGGACCGGCUGGUUUAAUCGGAGACCUGUGGUGCCGGCGGUCCGGUCAUAGCCUUUAAACCGUUUUCGCAGUAACCGGCCGGCCAAACCGGUGGCCGGUGGUUGAACCGGAAACCCGGUGUAAACAAGGGUUGGGCCGGACUUCUCUUCCAUCAGCAGAUUUACCAUGGUUGGAGUUUUUUUUUCCGGUCAGUCUGCAUCUGCUACGAGAAGAAGAUAAACCGUGUGGUGAUGAGAAAUUACAGAUCUAAAAGAUGAAGGAUCUGAAUAGAGAAGAAUAUGAAUGGUUUUUUUAUGUAUUUUCUUCCAUUUUCACAUAUCAGAGAAAGAAAAGUAGAAAUAGGUAGAAGAAAGAGUGGUCAAGAAGUUAAAGUGACCAAUGGAAUUGGUCAAAUCUAAAAACUCCCUUACCAAUUAAUAAUUCAUCAAAUACUAAGAAUAUGCCAAAUAAUUAACCAACCAAUCAUAAUUCACAUAAACAAAUUCAUUUAUAUUUUAAAUCUAAUUAAACUGUAUUUAAAUUCAAAUACUAUCUGUAUUGAAGUUAUUAGUUUGGUCUUGGUUAAUUUCUUAUUAAAAUAUAUUAAUUAAACUCUUUAUAAAAAGUUGUGUUUUAAUUUUGUAUAUCAUCAAACUUAUUAUGUUCUUUGUAAUUUUUGAUGUUUUUAUCUUAUAAAAUAUAUAUUAUUUAUAAUGUUAUCCGGUUUUUAAAUCUGGUCCGACUGAUCCGACCGGUUCGACUAGUGAACUAGUAAGAAGAUCGGUUCGAUGUUCGGUGAUUGGAUUUGGAUCAAGUGGUUUGGGUCCAUGAUUUAA